CUGCCACGUCUUGGUUUGAGGCUUUGUUCCGUGCCUACUCCUCACCCCAUCAAAAUCCUCUCCCUCCUCCCUACACCACCUGUGCUGUGCAUCACUCCUCUCCUCUCCUCCCUUCUUCAAGAGAGCGAAGGAAAUAGAAGAAGAACAGUACAAAAUCACAACAAUAAAAUCUCUCUCUUAUUCUCCGCUCCUAAACAUAGUUUCCGAAUUUCUAUAUUUAGCCUCAUUCUCUUCCCCUCUCCUCUCCAAUACAAACACGAACACGAACACACAUUUGUGUCGCGCAAUUUGAUCUCGACGCAAUGAAGCUGAAGAACCCCUCCAAUUCCCCCUCGCUCUCCGACACGCGCCUGCUCGUGCGCGAGACGCUCCGCAUCAGCGCCAACCUUGCCUCGGCGCCUCCGCCCUCGCCCUCACCGGCCGCUGUGGCGCCUCACGACCGCCCGCUGCUCCAGGAUUCCAGCUUCGGUGGCCUAGUCGACGAUCAGUUUCUCAAUUCGAGCCUGAGGUUGAUCUGCUGCGAGGAGAUUGAUGGCAGACGCUGGCAAUACUUCGCAGAUGACAACACCGGCCCUAGGAAUGUUGCUACCAAAAAAUUGAAGAAGAAUUCCAUUCGUGCUGUCUGCUUGCAGACUCCGUUAUCCCCUGCUGAUGAGUUGUUAACAUUCAUAAGAUCUUACGUUGUUCCUGAAGGUUUUCCAGACAGUGUCAUGCCUUCCUAUGUGCCUUACAUGACUUGGAGAGCGAUAAAGCACAUCUUUGGUGGUGCCAUGGGUGUUUUCACCACACAAACCCUCCUAAGUUCACUCGGAGUCUCCAGAAAUAGAUCUGCACCAGGUGCUGUAGCUAUCAAUUGGAUUCUCAAGGAUGGUGCUGGGAGGGUCGGGAAGAUGCUCUUUGCUCGACAGGGGAAGAAGUUUGACUAUGACUUAAAGCAGCUUAGGUAUGCUGGUGAUCUCCUUAUGGAGUUGGGAGCUGGAGUAGAGUUGGCAACUGCAGCUGUCCCCCACUUGUUUCUUCCAUUGGCAUGUGCUGCCAAUGUGGCUAAGAAUGUCGCUGCUGUGACAUCAACUUCGACCCGAACGCCAAUAUACAAAGCCUUUGCCAAAGGAGAAAAUAUAGGAGAUGUCACUGCAAAGGGAGAAUGUGUUGGAAAUAUAGCAGAUCUGCUUGGAACUGGACUCGGAAUAAUGAUUUCUAAAAGAAACCCAUCCUUGUUCAUUUCAUUUGGUUUGCUCUCCUGCGGAUAUAUCCUGAGCUCUUAUAAAGAGGUGAAAUCUGUAGUGUUGCAUACACUAAAUCGUGCACGAUUCACUGUAGCAGCAGAGUCCUUUCUUAAGACGGGGCGCGUUCCAAGUUUGCAAGAGGGAAAUUUGAUGGAGAACAUUUUCAUUCCCCCAUGGAAACAACAUAGACCUAUUGUUCUUGGACCGAGGUUUAAAGAUGCAUUCCAAGACCCUGUUUCAUAUAUUGCGUUGGAGCCCAUUUUUGAGAAAGAGCGUUAUAUAGUGACUUAUAAUCCUUCAAAGGGCAAUAUCUAUGCCUUGUUCAAGGAUCAAGCAAAGUCUGAUGAUAUUCUGAAAGCAGCUUUUCAUGCUCAUGUGCUACUUCACAUAGUUCAAUCCUCUAAGCAGAGCCAGCAAUCCUUGAGAAAACAAGAUGAUGAUCUUUCACCUGUAUCACCUUCAAUCGGUGAUCUACAAUCUCAUAUUGCAGAAUCAUACAAGCUGGUGUCAGCUCUAUAUGGGCCUUUUAAAACCAAAGUCAAAGAACAGGGUUGGGUCAUGUCUGAAUCACUACUACAUCCUGGCAGAGCACGGCUGUGUGAAUUGGCAAUUUAAGGAUAAUGCGGGGACCUGUAAAAUCUCUAAGAAGGAUCCACAAAGGGAUCCAGUCAAUUUCUUACUUAAAAUCGCCUGAAUAUGCCCGGAUCUUUUCGGUAUGAGCAAGGUAGAGGUAGUGAGUGCUGUUGCUGAAUCAGUGAUACUCAAUUCGAUGUAAACACAAUCAGUUCUAUGCAAUAUUCUUGAAAAAAAAUUACUAGUGGUGGCGGAUGUGUAAAUUUGUCUAGAGCCAUGAAGCUAUUGUGAUAUGCUGAAGCUGGAGGAGAGUGGGUUGAGCUAAUUAUAUAGGGUGUAACAGGAUGUUGAAAAAAUUGCAAGCAAGUAUUCAUGAAGAGAAUAGUUAUGCUGCAAUAAGGCAAAGAUGACUAUUACACUAUGCUGUAUGUUAUAAAUGAAGUCUCAUUGAUCCAUGAUGUGCACAGCAGUAGGCUGUGAGUUAUGAUGAAUCUAUUAUAAACAAGCAGGACGCUCAGUUCAGAAUGAAUGGCGCUCGCAUCCACACCGUAACACUGACAUCUUUAAUCUUGCUAUCGAACGACAUUAUGUUCGAGUUGGACAAAUGCAUACCUGACCUGAACUUAUGGAAUGAGCGAUGAUGCUCUUGUGAAUUUGUUUUACUUCAAUGACAUCGUUUUAAAUUCAAAAUUUGAAGAAUUGAGUUUGGUGUUCUCUUAAAUAGAUGAUGUGGAACAAUAUAGAAUUUUGGGAAAAUUUCUACAUAAUGCACAAGUCAACUUUGAGCCUUUAACGUUAUCAUUCGAGUUCGAAUGGUAAGCUAGACUAUAUAUUUUUGCAAAUUCCUAUGAGAAUUGAGAAGGGAGGAAUUUUUGUUUCUUUUUAAAA